rnacentral:rRNA from 1 species
GGGCAAGGCUGGUGCCAGCCGCCGCGGUAAAACCAGCAGCCCAAGUGGUGACCACGAUUAUUGGGCCUAAAGCGCUCGUAGCCGGAUCAGCAAGUCCCUUGUGAAAUCGGGCCGCCUAACGGUUCGGCGUGCAAGGGAUACUGUUGGUCUUGAGGCCGGGAGAGGUCGGAGGUACUCCUGGGGUAGCGGUGAAAUGCUCUAAUCCUAGGGGGACCACCAGUGGCGAAGGCGUCCGACCAGAACGGACCUGACGGUGAGGGGCGAAGGCUAGGGGAGCGAACGGGAUUAGAUACCCCGGUAGUCCUAGCUGUAAAGCAUGCGGGCCAGGUGUCUAGCGCUCCUUGAGGGCGCUAGGUGCCGGAGGGAAGCCGUUAAGCCCGCCGCCUGGGAAGUACGGCCGCAAGGCUGAAACUUAAAGAAAUUGGCGGGGGAGCACCACAAGAGGUGGGACCUGCGGUUCAAUUGGAUUCAACGCCGGAAAACUCACCAGGGGCGACAGCUGGUUGACGGCCAGAUUGACGAUCUUGCCCGACUAGCUGAGAGGUGGUGCAUGGCCAUCGUCAGCUCGUACCGUGAGGCGUCCUGUUAAGUCAGGCAACGAGCGAGAUCCUCGCCCUUAGUUGCCAUCGGUGGAAAGCCGGGCACUCUAGGGGGACCGCUGGCGCUAAGUCAGAGGAAGGAGAGGGCGACGGUAGGUCAGUAUGCCCCGAAUCCCCUGGGCUACACGCGGGUCACAAUGCGCAGGACAAUGAGAUGCAACCCCGUAAGGGGAAGCCAAACCCAUAAACCUGCGCUCGGUUCGGAUCGAGGGCUGUAACUCGCCCUCGUGAAGCUGGAAUCUCUAGUAAUCGCGUGCCAACACCGCGCGGUGAAUGCGUCCCUGCUCCUUGCACACACCGCCCGUCAAGCCACUCGAGUGGGGUUUGGAUGAGGUCAGUUCAAGUUGUGCUGCUCGAAUCCGAGUUCUGCAAGAGGGGCU